UCCUGGCUCAGGAUGAACGCUAGCGGGAGGCCUAAUACAUGCAAGUCGAGCGUUCAGCAAUGGAAGCGGCAGACGGGUGCGUAACGCGUAUGAAACUUGCCCUACACAGGAGGAUAGCCUUGGGAAACUGAGAGUAACCCUCCAUAGCAUUAUUAUAUCGCAUGAUAUUGAUAAUUAAAUCUCCGGAGGUGUAGGAUAGUCGUGCGUCCGAUUAGCUAGUUGGUGAGGUAAUGGCUCACCAAGGCGACGAUCGGUAGCUGGUCUGAGAGGAUGAUCAGCCACACGGGCACUGAGACACGGGCCCGACUCCUACGGGAGGCAGCAGUAAGGAAUAUUGGACAAUGGACGCAAGUCUGAUCCAGCCAUCCCGCGUGGAGGAAUAAGGCCCUAUGGGUUGUAAACUUCUUUAGCAGGGGAAUAAAAAACCGAUUUAUCGGGAAUUGAAGGUACCCUGAGAAUAAGCACCGGCUAACUCCGUGCCAGCAGCCGCGGUAAUACGGAGGGUGCAAGCGUUAUCCGGGUUUACUGGGUUUAAAGGGUGCGUAGGCGGACGAUUAAGUUAGAUGUGAAAGCUUGCAGCUCAACUGUAAGAUUGCGUUUGAUACUGGUCGUCUUGAAUUUG
rnacentral:rRNA from 1 species